rnacentral:rRNA from 1 species
UGCCUACGGGAGGCAGCAGUGAGGAAUAUUGGUCAAUGGGCUUACGCCUGAACCAGCCAAGUCGCGUGAGGGAAGACUGCCCUAUGGGUUGUAAACCUCUUUUGUCAGGGAGCAACGCCGGCUACGUGUAGCCGGACUGAGAGUACCUGAAGAGAAAGCAUCGGCUAACUCCGUGCCAGCAGCCGCGGUAAUACGGAGGAUGCGAGCGUUAUCCGGAUUUAUUGGGUUUAAAGGGUGCGUAGGCGGGAAUGCAAGUUGGUUGUGAAAUCCCUCGGCUUAACUGAGGAACUGCAACCAAAACUACA